ACUUUACUAGAAAAUUAGCAGAAAUAUAAUUCAGAACAGAAGUUUUAGAGAACAACGCCUUAUACUCAGAGGCCCAACCAAAAAGAUCGAAACUUUAGUGGAGCAAAAGCCUUGUGUGUUUCUCUUCAAGACUUGAACAGUUCAACAACAACUGAGAUAUGCCCUUCUUCUUCAGCUCAGAUCUAUUCAGUGAGUGCUGCUUGUGACAAUGUCAAGACCAUGGGUACUGGUUUGUCUGCUCCUGUUAAUUGUGUUUACAUCACAGUUUGAAUGGAAGCAAUAUGGGAAUGAUGAACCAAGUCCAAGCACUUCCAAGAAACAUCAAUAUAUAUCUGAAAGGGAAGAAGCUGUGAAAGAAAAAAUAAUCCUCUCUCAAGAGAAAAAUAUACAGAAACUUAGCGAGCUUGUGCGGAGUCUUCGGGAACAAUUGCUACAAUGUAGAGGUGAAAAUGAGAUUGUCAAUGGCACUGCAGCCCCUUUGACUGAACUUCUUUCUGAGCUUGAAAGGCAUCCACUUUUGGAGGAUUAGUCACAGAUCAUACGUGUUAAACAUCAGUAUGUUUGUAUCUUUGUAGUUUGUUGUACCUACGAAGAUUCAAGGAUGAUGAUUUCCUUCCCUCUCCGUCUCUCGAUUUAAUUCAUCAACCUGUCUUCUUUACUAGUUGUACCAUGAAAAUGGUCCCAAUUUCUCACUAGUUGGUGAUAAAACUUUACCAUGAGGCACUUAUCUGCUGCUGAUUCAAUUUUUGUAGUUUGUACAUUUGGUAGGGGGUAGGUCAUUUAUAAAUCAACUUUGUCUGGCCACAUUCCAGCUGUUCCCCGAAGUGUAUAAUACAUAGUUGC